rnacentral:lncRNA from 1 species
UCAAUCUAGUUUUGGAAGGGGCACGGGAGAGAAACAUAUAGAAAUGGAGUCAACUGAAGGGCCAUGGACUGCUUCGUCUGCGUCUGCUCACGAUCUGUAUCCCGUCCAUCCUGAUUCAGAUUACUGGAAGAACAGAAGCGAUAUAACUUGAGCUGCACAGUUAUCAGUUUGACUCAACCUUGGCACACUCAAACACAUCAAAUAAUAAAUCAUUUGUAUUUCCUCUAUAACUAUUUGUUGACGUGAGUCAACCAUAUAGUUUAGGAAUGUGAUCAUGUGAUUGAUUCCUUGUAUAAUUCGGAUUCUUAUUUCCUAUUUUAUGGGACCUCUUGAACAACUAUUUAUUUACCUCCUAGAGAGAAGGAUACGUACAAUUACACCUUAACUUUUAUGUCGGUAUCAGAGGAUGCUUCGGCCCGUCUCUUUCCAAAAACCCUUAAAAACCCCCUCAAGGCAUGCAACUUGCAUCAAGAAUUAUUGCUGGUGUUUGUCACGAACCGAGAAAUCCAACGUCUGUGGCUUUGGAAUAAACAAAGCUACAAAGUCAAAAAAACAUAUCAAAAUAAACCUACAAAUCAGUCCCUGCAAUGACUGAAGACAGAAAAACAAAAACCGGUGAGAUAAUUCCCAUGCAAACUAUGUCUAUUCAAAGUGAGUCUACCAAAAUCAGCGGCCUUCCAUUCAGAUUUAGAUUGAGCGACUCGAAUUUCAAAGUUUAGUCGAAGAUGAUGGAGGUCCAUGCCUCUGGCCUUGGCAAACUGGGGUAUUUGACAGGAAAAACCCCUGUUGUUGCUGAAGACUCGCCUGGAUAUACAAAGUGGGUCAAUGAUCACUGCUAUAGUACGAGGAUGGUUGUUGAAAACCAUGAAGCCCCACCUAUCGAGUCUCUUUAUUGACUUGCCGACAGCCAAAGAUGUGUGGGAAAGUGUAACCCAGAUGUUUUACGACAAUUCAGACGAGUUCCAAUAUUGUGAACUCAGGUGUAGGGCUACGCGAACUAAACAAGACGGUCGUCCAGUAAAUUUGUACUUCACUGAACUCAAAGGAGUAUCGCAAGAUCUUGAUAAAAGGCGCCCUAUCAAGAUGAUAUGCAAAGCAGACCUGCAAAGCCGUAGGGAGGAGCUUUCAAAGGACAGGGUUUACGACUUUGUUGCGGGGUUAGAUCAUGGUUUUGAUCAAGUCAGGAGUGAAAUCCUAAGGAUGAAACCUAUCCCUGGGAUUGAAGAAUGUUUUUAUUUGGUUAGACGUGAAGGCCAGAGACAAACCCCUAUGCUUGAAACAAAAUCUAAAACCACAAGCUCUUCUAUGGUGAUGAUCACCAAGUCCCCAUCAUCAUCAUCCUUUCGUUUAACAUCCGCGGGAACAUCUAGCCCAAAUCGCACCCAAGAAGAUAUUUGACACGCCCCGAUCCCGAUAUUCCUCGAAUACCAAGAUAGGCACGUGCUGGCCGACACCCAAGGGUGACGAAAGCCAUUAAUUGAAUGCAAAUGCUGAGAAUAAGGAAUAGAUAAGGUUUAUAAAUAUAAAAGAAUAAAGAAUAUGCAUUUAAGGAACGUGUUCAGAGCACACAUCUAAUCGAGAAUAUUAGAAGAAUUAACAUAAACAAUUUGAAUGAACACAGAACGGGGUCCUACACCUAGAGGACUCGAAGAUACCGAUGCGGAAGUGUCUGGAUGCCGGGAUUGUACGCCUCGAUUCUAAGUCCUGAAGGGGGCGCAAAACAAACAUGAGUGGACCAAGUUGAUAUAUAUAUAAUAAAACAGUUAUCAACGUACUAACCCCCAGGUUUAUGAAAACAUAUAUAUAAUGAUAAACAUAGGUUUUCCGAAUUCUAGCAUGAUGUGCAGUAUCUCAAAUCAUAAUUCAUAUAUAAUAAUCACUAGUGAAUUGUCCGAUAACCCCCAGGCCCCAUGCCGGCUCCCCGUCUCUGAGCAGACAGUCAGAGGAAAAUACACUUCAGGCCCUAUGCCGGCUCCCCGUCCCUAUGCUAAAUAGCCAGAGGAAACACACUCCAAGCCCUAUGCCAACACCAAACCGUCGCCCGGGACGGACCGGAAUCUAUCCCUACGUCCCAUAGCAGAAAGGACCACUAGGUAAGUACAAAACCAUUGAACAUAUAUAUAUAUUAAAAAACAACUUCAUAGUAUAAAGUCAUCCAUCAUCUAUACUAUAAAGAGGUGUUCGAAACAUGUUCUACAUAUCAUAUCGUCAUCCAUCGGAUAUUCUAUAAGAACAUGGGUUAUAGGAAAAAUAGUAAUAAUUCAAACUAGCCUUAGUAAGCAUGUUAUCUCAAAACGUUUCAUAAAACGUAAUCAUUAAAUCAUGUCUUUCAUGUAUGCAUUUCUACUAUUAAAACAUGCUUUUGAAGGGGUCCACUCACAGUACUUAGCCGCCGAAGAGUCACGCAAACUAACGAACAAGAAAACGUCACCAAUAAUUGCCCCUAAGCACAUAAAGGGUCCAAUUAAUAAAACUCUAUUUUAACAAUUGAAUUGGGAAAACGGACUUCAAAAACGGGUCCAGGACGUCGAAAUUAGCCUAGGAGAGAUCCUGGACGAAAGCCAGAAUGGGCUUGGGGUUUGGGUUUUAAUUAAGCUAAAGGGACUUGGGAAAAGGGCUGAAAGCCCACUUUACAAUUGGCCCUAAGGCCUUACUUCCUAAAACAGAAAAUAAAUAAAAACCUUAAAAAGGUUUCUUGGGUUUGACUAAUGGGCUACGGGCCCUAAAUUCCUAAUGGCCCGAAGGCCUUUAAGGGUCCUAAAACAAUUACAAUUAAAUAAAAUAAUUAAAAGUAAAAUAGGCUAGGGUUUUGGGCUUGGCUCCCCAAACCACACGGGCCUAAGGCCCGCUUAGCAUGGAACCGGCCUGGGAGGCCUGUCUCGCCGGAGCACCACCACCGGAGCUUCACAGCUCCGGCCGACUUCCACACACAACCCUAGACUUCGAUCUAGGUACCAAAACGAAGAGCAAGACGAGGGGAGUAUUUCUAUACCUUCCUUUCGUCGUGGAAUGGACGGAGAUGGCCGGAAAAACCCCCGAGGUCGCCGGAGUUGGGUGUGCUUACACCCGGCUUCGAUUUCGUCCUAUAACCUCCAAAAAUCACGAAUUAACUCCAAUUAAACCUCAAUCUCGCAAGAAUCAAGGACGAAAAGAGAGAAUUAGGGGCUUACCUAACCGGAGAUUGAAAAAUCUCGCCGGAGCUCCUUUUCCGGUUCUCUGGGGUCGCGGGAACGAGAGGGAGAGAGAGAGAGAGCAGGACGCGGUGAUGAAGGGUGAUGGGCUUCCUCGCGCGGGGAGAUGGGUGCGUGCAUGUGUGCGCGGUGCAGAGAAGAGGGAGAGAAGUGAGAGAUGAGAGAGAGCCGAGAGGGAGAGACAGGAAGAAAGAAAAGAAAAACAGAAAAGAAGAAGGAGAAAUUGUUUGGGGUGCUGCCAAGUGGCAGAUUUAGAAAGAAAGGGAUCCAUUUUCAGAUUGGGUAGAUAAAAUGGGACAAAAUUGAUAUAAUUAAAAUGUUUUGGGGUAAUUACAUACAUAUAUUUUUAUAAUUAGAGGGCGGGUGUUACAAUAUUGACAAAGAUAAGCUUCACUGCAACCACUGCAAUGGAACAAGGCACACCGAAGAAACUUGUUUUGAAAUACACACAUACCCAGAAUGGUACUGGGAAAAAAUGAAGCAAUUGAAGGCCAAAAGGAGGAAGUCGGGCCAGGCUGAACUGGUCGAGAGACAGGACCUGGAUCCAACGGGAUUAAAGGCCGAAAUGAAGCAAUUAAUGAGCAAAUGAAUAUCUAAACUGGCCUUAACAAUUUUCAGCAAUAAAAAACAUGUCCCUUUAUCGAAGUUGCAUAAAUUACAGAACCUUGGGAUUAAGGAGGAAUAAAAAGCCCAAAUUCCAAUCAAGAAAAAAAAAAUUGUAUGUAAAUUUAAGCUUUACCUGUAGAUUGGCAGCAGCAAAAGCAUACUGGAUCCAACGGGAGCGAGAACUGGAUGCCCAGCCCUUGACACGUUAUCGAGUGAGUUUAGGGAUCUGGGUUUUGUGUUUGCCGUUGAAUUUUGGAAUGAUCUGGAGAAAUUUGGGUUUUAGGGUUCUAAGGAUUUGAGUGAACCGAAACUGAUUUGGAUGAGCAACUUUUGGUUUCGAUUCGCGGUGGAGCAAGGAUGAAGAGGUGGAGGAGGUAGGAACGAAAGGGUGAGAAAAUUUGGAUAGGCGGGAUUCGGUUUCGUUUCGAAUCAGGAC